rnacentral:rRNA from 1 species
CAGCCGCCGCGGGAAUACGAAGGGGGCUAGCGUUGUUCGGAAUUACUGGGCGUAAAGGGCGCGUAGGCGGCCAUUCAAGUUAGAUGUGAAAGCCCUGGGCUUAACCUAGGAAUUGCAUUUGAUACUGUUUGGCUUGAGUUCGGGAGAGGUGAGUGGAAUUCCCAGUGUAGAGGUGAAAUUCGUAGAUAUUGGGAAGAACACCAGUGGCGAGGGCGGCUCACUGGACCGACACUGACGCUGAGGCGCGAGAGCGUGGGGAGCAAACAGGAUUAGAUACCCCCGUAGUCCCUGUCUCUUAUAC